GAUGAACGCUAGCUACAGGCUUAACACAUGCAAGUCGAGGGGAAACGAUAUUGGAAGCUUGCUUCCGAUAGGCGUCGACCGGCGCACGGGUGAGUAACGCGUAUCCAACCUGCCCAUCACUUGGGGAUAACCUUGCGAAAGUAAGACUAAUACCCAAUGACGUCUCUAGAAGACAUCUGAAAGAGAUUAAAGAUUUAUCGGUGAUGGAUGGGGAUGCGUCUGAUUAGCUUGUUGGCGGGGUAACGGCCCACCAAGGCGACGAUCAGUAGGGGUUCUGAGAGGAAGGUCCCCCACAUUGGAACUGAGACACGGUCCAAACUCCUACGGGAGGCAGCAGUGAGGAAUAUUGGUCAAUGGGCGAGAGCCUGAACCAGCCAAGUAGCGUGCAGGAUGACGGCCCUAUGGGUUGUAAACUGCUUUUAUAAGGGAAGAAAGUGAGCCACGUGUGGCUUUUUGCAUGUACCUUAUGAAUAAGGACCGGCUAAUUCCGUGCCAGCAGCCGCCGUAA
rnacentral:rRNA from 1 species